rnacentral:rRNA from 1 species
CCUACGGGAGGCAGCAGUGGGGAAUCUUGCGCAAUGGGCGAAAGCCUGACGCAGCCAUGCCGCGUGAAUGAUGAAGGUCUUAGGAUUGUAAAAUUCUUUCACCGGGGACGAUAAUGACGGUACCCGGAGAAGAAGCCCCGGCUAACUUCGUGCCAGCAGCCGCGGUAAUACGAAGGGGGCUAGCGUUGCUCGGAAUUACUGGGCGUAAAGGGAGCGUAGGCGGACAUUUAAGUCAGGGGUGAAAUCCCAGAGCUCAACUCUGGAACUGCCUUUGAUACUGGGUGUCUUGAGUGUGAUAGAGGUAUGUGGAACUCCGAGUGUAGAGGUGAAAUUCGUAGAUAUUCGGAAGAACACCAGUGGCGAAGGCGACAUACUGGAUCAUUACUGACGCUGAGGCUCGAAAGCGUGGGGAGCAAACAGGAUUAGAUACCCUGGUAGUCCACGCCGUAAACGAUGAUUGCUAGUUGUUGGGAUGUUUACAUCUCGGUGACGCAGCUAACGCAUUAAGCAAUCCGCCUGGGGAGUACGGUCGACAGAUUAAAACCUUAAAGGAAUUGACGG